AACGUAGGUGGCGAGCGUUAUCCGGAUUGACUGGGCGUAAAGGGUGUGCAGGCGGACGGCCAAGUGGUGUGUGAAAUCGUCGGGCUCAACCCGGCGAGGUCAGGCCAGACUGGUCGUCUGGAGUGCGGGAGAGGGGCGUGGAAUUCCGGGUGUAGUGGUGAAAUGCGUAGAGAUCCGGAGGAACCCCAGAGGCGAAGGCGGCGCCCUGGCCCGACACUGACGCUGAGACACGACAGCAUGGGGAGCGAACGGG
rnacentral:rRNA from 1 species